rnacentral:rRNA from 1 species
UGGGGAAUCUUGGACAAUGGGGGCAACCCUGAUCCAGCCAUGCCGCGUGAGUGAUGAAGGCCUUAGGGUCGUAAAGCUCUUUCGCCUGUGAAGAUAAUGACGGUAGCAGGUAAAGAAACCCCGGCUAACUCCGUGCCAGCAGCCGCGGUAAUACGGAGGGGGUUAGCGUUGUUCGGAAUUACUGGGCGUAAAGCGCACGUAGGCGGAUCGGAAAGUUGGGGGUGAAAUCCCGGGGGCUCAACCCCGGAACUGCCUCCAAAACUAUUGGUCUAGAGUUCGAGAGAGGUGAGUGGAAUUCCAAGUGUAGAGGUGAAAUUCGUAGAUAUUUGGAGGAACACCAGUGGCGAAGGCGGCUCACUGGCUCGAUACUGACGCUGAGGUGCGAAAGUGUGGGGAGCAAACAGGAUUAGAUACCCUGGUAGUCCACACCGUAAAACGAUGAAUGCCAGUCGUCGGGUAGCAUGCUAUUCGGUGACACACCUAACGGAUUAAGCAUUCCGCCUGGGGA